AAAAAAAAGCACUGUUUGACUCUUAUACCUCAGGCUUCACUUAACUAUGUCUCAGGAUUGUGUUGGCUUUUCCCAGAAGCAGGCAUGCGUAAUAAGCAUUUACUUAUGUCUAUUGUAAUAUGCAUUUGUUCAUGUAUAGUCACCUGUGUUUCCAGCUUUGAAGGACUGUUGACAAGCACAAUGGGAUUGUUAACAAAGAGUGCUUAGCAGCAGGCUUGGUGACUAGAGAGGCCCCUAUAACUGGUGACUGCGGUUUUCCUGGGAGCUACGUCCCUGGGGUCUGUCAGGGAUUCCCUGCUCACGGUGCUAUGGCACGUGGAUCUGGCCUGUGUGCCGUGCUUAGCCUACUCACAUGAACAAUGAAAUACAUGGCACUGAUUUGAAUGUGUCCCCAGACCUUACUGAGAUGUCGAUGGGUCACCAACAAACCCCUUAAAAGCCUUCAGUGACAGCUCCGAAAAAAAAAAAGCCUUCAGUGAGGAACUCGCAACAAGGUAAUCAAUCCACCAUCACACCGUGCACUAAGGAUGGGAAAUCCACAUAUUCUUAGAAUUUGAGGCAAACUCAGGCAAUUGUAUUUCUGGUCAAGUUUUCAACAGCCAACAAGUUGAGAUAUGAUGAUUUUUACAGCAUGAUCCAGUGGAAAGGGUGACAGUAUAAUGGAAGCUAAUAAAAGGGGUUGGACGCGUGUGCGUACUCAUUACGCGAAGGUCCUGAUUAAAUGCACAAUGCUCAUCUUGUUUUACUGUGUGUAAUGGUUAUAAUAGCGUCUGUGUGUCAUAGUUCUGGCCUCAAGCGGGUAGCAUAUACACAACGAUUAGGAAGGAAACGUUUACUCCGGGGUUUAUUUAUUUAUACGUCUCCUUGGGCCUUUAUGAGGAACUGGAAUAGUAGGCACAGUCUCGCCGCUGUUGACAAAAGGACUGGACUGGGCACUUCUUCUCGUGAAUAUUUAAUGAAUGCGGUGUGCAUCCCUCUGAAAGCGUGUCCUUUCUAAAGUAAGGGCCACCUUGGACCGCCUUCCCUUUACACCCUCUAUGGCCUCCUUAGUUAGAGAACGCUGGGUAGAGCUACCUGGAGUCAGCAGGACAGCUCAGGAAAUACCGGACUCCUAAGAACUGGUAAUGUGUGGCAUCUGAGAGAAGCUGGCACUCAGGAGAAGGCAAUAAAAGUUAAUCAGGUUACAGUUAUAGACUUCAGUUUUUAGGGUAAAAAAAAAAAAAACAUACGGAGAAACUAAAAAUAAGAGGUCGGCGAUGUGCAGGUCAGAUAUAACAACAGAACUCCGAAGAGAGUGUCCCGACCAGUAGAGCUCAAAUUUGAGUUGCGGAGAGACCCACCCGGGAGGGAGGGUGUUUGUUCACCUUGUCCGGGGCUGCAUUCAGUAGCCUGGUGUGGGCCAUUUCGGACUAGCUCCAAAACGAUGCUGACAGCCAGGCUCUGGUCCACAGACCACACUGAGAAACACGUGUCUAAACUAACUACCCUCGCUUACUUAAACGUUAGGAGCUGUAAAGCUACUACUACUCCUUUAGCAUUAAGCAAGUGACCCUGCCUGGGAACACCCCAUGCCGCCCUUUUGCAUCUCUAGCAAAAUCCUGAAGCAAGCACCUGAGCGCGCAGGAGGAUCGGCAUUAAAAAUUGGGAGCCGAAGGACAUUUGUACGCGAUCUUCUCGCCUCCAGGGAAGACCCGGCCUGUUCCACAACAAGAUAGGACCCUCCUUUCUCACGCCGGAGACUCCCGACGGCCGGCGCGUACCCCGAAUCCUGCAGGGGCGCGCGCAGCGGACCGCCUUCCCUGCCAAGGCGGCCUGGAAGCAUUGCGCACGCGCAGCAGCGCCUCCGACGACACCCGGAAGUGCCAGUGCCUGUUGCCUGCCGCCACCGGUGGUCGAGAAAAGCUGCUUGUGUUUCUUCGACCCCAGGUCAGCGACUUUGAGGUGAAUUCAAGAGAGGUUGUUGGAUGGAAGGAAUUAAGGAAGGAACUUAGAAGGACCCCUGUUCAGGGUUAAAAUUAAAAACCAGCUGCCGAAACCCGGGAUCGAACCAGGGACCUUUAGAUCUUCAGUCUAACGCUCUCCCAACUGAGCUAUUUCGGCGCUGCGCCUCUCCCCUUCUACAAUGUGCUAUCUCUGAGUACUUCAGGUCCAGUCGUCCUGCGGUGUUUUAUUAAUAAUUAAUCUGUUCUGUAUUUUUGUUUGUUCUGUUUGAAUCAUGUUUCUUCGGUCUCACUUCUCGUAACCAGAAAUUCACGGUCCUGGUCCCUUCCCGAGACCAGCUCGGGGUUUCCUAGGCGAACAUGUCACACUUUUGGACUGUACGGGAAUGUCCCAGAUCUGGCUGGCUGGCAGUGUUUGCCCAGAGCUGUUGGUUGACUGAGUGGUUGGGUCCCUGGAGGCCAGAGUCCUCUGGCCAGUCCCAGACGCGGCAUUCGUAGUCUCUCAGACCCGCGUCCUGCAAAGGGCGCAGCUCGGUUACAAGCUCUGAGGGGAACCUGUUUGGCAAACACUUGGGCAGUUCAUGAAAGAAGACUUAAUGUCAGCGCUCCUUCACGUCACGCGGGUUCCUGGAGCACCCACUACCUGCCCCCUGGAUCUUACUGAAGUUCUGUUUUCUUCUCCUCUCCGAUUAAAUAGUACUAAUCUCAAUAGCACUUUCUCUCGACGCCCUUUCAGCCCAGGUACGAGACUUUUCUUUACCUAGAAGCGUCGCUAUCAAUUUGGGUUGAUGGGAGGAUGUGAAAGGAAAAGAGAAAAAGAAAGAGUGCUUGCGACCUUCACUGGGUCCCCUUCAUUCAGUCUGCAUUCUACAAACGGGUCUCUGGGCGCCCGGUUUGAACCAAUAACAGAGUCAACCAAAUCCACAUAACAAAAGAGCUCGAAAAUUAAGAGGUCGGUGGAUAAGGAGAGUGUCCUCUUCUGUCACUGCCUGCCUGGACUCAAGUGUGCCGUGAGUCAAUCUCAGGCUCUUGGGGUCUUUCCAUCUCUUCCUGGAGACUGGGAGGUGUGGUGGUCUGACUGAGAAAUGUCCCCUACAGUCUUGAACAUUUGAACAGCAGUUUAGGGGGGGUUAGAAAGUGCAGACUUUUGGAGGAAGUAUGUCAUCGGUCCUUAGAAGGUCACAAGUGCACUUUAGGUCCCCCCAGCCUCCCGGGAUAAAAAUUCACAUUCCCGAUUCUGAGUCUCGUUUCAUGGACUGAACUCUGCUAUCUUCAACUUGAGGUUCUAUGAACAAAGUAAGCUGAUCCCAAGGACACAUUGUCUCUGGGUUUGAGAGAAAACUUCUGCUUCAUCUGCAAGACUGCAGAGGAGAGGAGCCAUCACAGCAACCAUGGAGGGCAGGCUCAGAAUAAGGAUAAGGAUGUGGGAGGAGAUCCUAACCCAAACAGAAACUUUUUGUAGGCCACACUCCAGUUUUCCCAGUUAACCCAAGGAUGCUUGCUAACCCCGAUGCAACCGCUUAUGAUAUCUAUGAAAACUGAACUAGCCAGCAGAAGGAAGACAUCAAAAUUAAAAAAAAAAAAAGAAAGCUUGUUGUAUAUAUGUCUGAAAUUCUUUUUGAACUGUUGUCAAUUGAUUAUCUGUUCUUAACGUUGUUCCUGGAACCCCUACAGCACAGACAAAACCCUGACGACCACUUUACUUUCCUCUCAUUUUAGUAUUCGUCCUAGGGAAGUUUAAGAAAAAUUGACGGGAAUAUAUAAAAAGGAUAUAGGAGCAGUUUGAAAGGGCUGCUCUUGGCCCAAACUGGGACAGCAUAAACAUCACGGAUGCGUAAAACACAAAGUCAUGACUACAGUACCUAAAAGCCUUGUGGCGGGCAGUGAAGACUGGCACGGAACUGAAGGAAUUGUGCCGUGGGUUAAAUGCAGAAGAAGUGGUGGCCCUGAAAAUUGCCGUUUUCUAAGCAUCGUAGUGAAGAGUCGUUCUGUGAGGAAUUAUCAGUGGCUGCUAAUGUAGCUCAGUUAAGAGUGCUUGCCUGCCACGCACAAAACCCUGUUUCUGAGCCUCAGGCUUUCUAAGGCCAUGUGUGGUGCAACGAGCUUAUAACCCCAAUACUCAGGCGUCAGAGGCAGGAGGUCAGGAGUUCAAGAUUAUCCCAAGUGAAAUUUCAAGUUCAAGACCAGCCUGGGACAGGAGAAACUCUGCUUCAGAAAAAGAAAGGAGGAAGAAAAGGAUGGUGACAGGAAGCGGGGAAGUCCCCUGAGAUGGCAAGUCUAGGUCAGAAAACUUGGACUCCAGAAGUUGAAUGUUGUAGGCUUGGGCACUCUUAAGUCCUUCUUAUCUUAAUUGCUUGUGGCUUGCAAUUAAUGGCGCCGUGGACCAGCCCUCCAGCUGUUUUCAUUUCCCCAUCUGCAUGCCUCUGCCUCCUACCAGGACACAAGCUAGGGUCAUCUGGCGUGAGGGAGCUUCCGUUGAGGAAUGGCCUCCAUCAGACAGGCCUGUUGCAUCAGGGUUUUUGCACUCUGUCAGUGCAAUGAAUGAUCUGCCCUUCUUCAGCUGGUUUGAGCUGUCCUCAUGCCGUGGGAAUCAGCUUUCUGGGCCAUCUGUGUUGCUGUCUUUCUGGACCUCUUCCUCCUUGAAUCGGGCCUUUCAUGUGGAAGCUUCUCUUACUCGGAUCAGCUCUUUCGCAAUCUUGAUGGAACCCCUAAUCUUUCAUCACCUGUGGAAGUACAGACAAAACCUCUUCCCUAACGAAAUGCAUUCCCCGACUUGCAUUCUGAUGUUAAAGCAUUGUUAGAGCAUCCGGGUUAAUCUAACUCUGCAAGGUUUUUUUUUUUUCUACAAUAAAGUGUCUUUGAGCUAAUCUUACUCCCCCUUUCUCUACCAAGGUACAAUUAGGUUUUGAUGAAUCCACACAUAAACCUCACACGUAGGCAUUCUCAUCCCAUGCCCAGCUUUACACAAAUGAGCUGGGCUUCCCACCCAUUUCCACACACAAACAAUCAAGCCAUACUGCAUAAGAUGUCAAUAUACAGCGUCUCUAAUACCUAGUUAGUUUUCUCUUGCUCUGUGGAUUGCUUACAGAAAAUGGCUGGCUCAUGUUCCCAAGGAACAAGUUAACCCCCUGAGUGAGUUUCUGGUCAGUAAGAGAUUACCUCACAUGUCUCUCGAUGGUCUGCACUCAUUAGUCCAAAGCCAACCCUUCCUGCACCCCAGAAAGUUGACAUAUCCCAGAAGGCUGAGGUCUUCUAGAGAAGUCUCUAGGAACAUCUUGUCUACAAUCCCUUUUCAAAUGACCUCACUCCCCAAAAUGAAAACAAUGUCUAUUUUGACACAUAUGUCAUUGCUUGUCCAAUUACAUAGUCAUCAACAGAAGUUCUAAUCCACUCAUCUAUGGGUGCUGAUCAAACUUUUAUAGAUCCAGGGGCUGG
rnacentral:tRNA from 1 species